rnacentral:rRNA from 1 species
AGCGAACGCUGGCGGCAGGCCUAACACAUGCAAGUCGAACGAACUCUUCGGAGUUAGUGGCGGACGGGUGAGUACCACGUGGGAACGUGCCAUUAGGUUCGGAAUAACUUAGGGAAACGUGUGCUAAUACCGAAUGUGCCCUUCGGGGGAAAGAUUUAUCGACUUUGGAGCGGCGCGCUUCAGAUUAGGUAGUUGGUGAGGUAAUGGCUCACCAAGGCGACGAUCAGUAGCUGGUCUGAGAGGAUGAUCAGCCACAUUGGGACUGAGACACGGCCCAAACUCCUACGGGAGGCAGCAGUGGGGAAUCUUGCGCAAUGGGCGAAAGCCUGACGCAGCCAUGCCGCGUGAAUGAUGAAGGUCUUAGGAUUGUAAAAUUCUUUCACCGGGGACGAUAAUGACGGUACCCGGAGAAGAAGCCCCGGCUAACUUCGUG